UGUUAUGGCGGCUGUGCGUGGGAGACCCUCGGGUCUGCCGGGUUCCUAACGUCCCGGUUCGCCAACCCGCGUACAGCUGCCACCCUU
rfam:Pseudomonas lutea strain DSM 17257 Contig002, whole genome shotgun sequence.